ACUUGUUAUUUUCAAUUCUUAUAUUAGAGAUGCAUUUUAAUUCAUGUUAAUGUGAUUGAGCAAACUUUAGAUAGGGUUUAGGGAUAAUAGGUACUUAAUCUAGGAAUCUCUCCAACUAAUUAUCAUGGGAAAAACAUCUAGACUUUUAUAGUCUCUAUUAUUACUUGAACAGACUAUGCACUUGCAAAAUCUCAAUAAAAAAAAACUAGAGAUGAUGACGACAUGUCAUUUAGAGGAGCUGAAUCAAAUUUGUGGGGGUAGCAGGAUUUUAAAGGUCAUAAAUCUAUUGCCACUAAGAGUUCAUCCAUCACACGAAGGAUUCUCUCACCCCUGGUAUGGGCAUUUUCUUUAAUUUUUUUUUGCCCAUUGCUAGCAUUGGAUUCAACCAAUAGGUAACUCAGCUAUAAUCUCUUCUUGUAAUAAUAAAAGGGACCUCAUCAGUUGAAGAACUUUUACCUUACCCUAGUUUUGCUAACCUUUCCUAAAACUCUAUCUUCAAGUUAGACAAGUCUAAACCAAAAGAUAUAGUUAAAAGUUUGAAGAUGUACCAAUGUAGUUAGAAGGAAAGAAGAAGGUAGGGCAAAGAAAGCUAAAAAAAGACUUAAAAUCAUUAAAGAACAAGUAGGCACAAAAGUAAAAAAGUAGGAAGAAUACUAGGAAGUGUGAAAAAGGAAAGGUCUUAGGUAAGCUUUAAAUAGUCAAAUUAUAGAUGCGAUAAGCGAUCCAAAUUAAGCCAUAUCAUUAUACACAAACCAAGGAUGAUGUUUUGGCUUUUUCGUUCAAAUUCAAAAAAUUGCCUAAAAUUUUUAUUUCUCGCCAAAAUUCCUUUUUUCCUCAUUAAAUGCUAAUCCAAUAAAUUAAGAACCAACUUGUUCAAAAGUCGUUAAGUGUUAUGUUUUUCAAAGCAUGUAAGCAACAUAAAUGAGAGUUUCAGGUCAGGAUAUCAACACCACCUAAGCAUAGAGUUUGUAAGAAUCACAUUAGGACUAUCAUAAAGAUGGCUUAUUUACCUUAAUUACAAAAACUUUGAAAAAUUUGAAGGGAAUUAUGUAUCAUUAUCAAAGUUAAAGCAAUGAAAUUUGAAAAAAUUUUAAUCCCCUCAAGCCAAGUUCAAUCAAUAAGAUUAUACGAACAACAAUAUAUAUAUAUAAGCAUGCAUAGUUUCAACUAAAGUGUUACCUUGAAUGCUAAAAAUCUUUUGGUUUAAUUUGGUGAUCUUCCAAAUAGAUUCCAAACCAAAAAGCUAUCCAAGUGUUCAACCUCUAAUGGUGAUCCACACGAACUCUUGUGAAAGAAUCUUCUCUCAGGCUUGGUGAACUAAAACCACAUUAUAACCAGUAAGUGUUUUCAAGACCUCUUAUAUUUUCUUGUGGGAAACUUCUUUUUUUUUAUUACUUGAUUACUUGAUUGAUAUAAGAAAAGGUAACUUGAUGUUUUUUUAUAGGGGAAGCAUUCGACCACAUUAGAUUUAAUACUGGGAAUACAAAUUUUAACAAUUAACCUUAGGUUAGCCAAAUGUGCCAAACAGGAAAAACUCUUUCUCUUGUUUUUUCUUUAUUUCCUCUAUUUUUUGUAAUACCAAAAUCAAAUUAAAUCUAACUUAAUUUGUUCCAGUUUUAAUAUUUCACAAUUAUCUUAUUGUGUAUGAUCUAUUAGGUUUUUUAGUAUGUUAGCAACAAACACAAGUAUUGUAAACCUUAGUAUUUGGCUAUGGAUGAAACAAACUUUGUCUUCAUCACCAAUUCUCCAAUUAGCCAAUAUUAAGUUUGUAGAUCAUGAUCAAUGUUAGCUUUAUUGCCAUGACCCCUAAUUGUUAUAGAAAAGUCAAUAUGGCUUAACAACCUAUCUAUGAAUGGUCGUUGUAUAUAAUUAAUAUCAUUUCAUCACAUAGUAUAUUGGUUUGAAUAUUGAGUAUAGUUUAGUGUCUACUCAAUCUUGUUCAACCAUGUUUAGUUUUGUCCUUAACAUUAACUCACAAAUAAUCUUUAGAAUGAUUCUAAAAUCUUAUUUCACUUUGGCUAAAGAUUUCUCAAGUUAAUUCAAUCAAGAAUAGUUGAGAUACUCUUUUGAUCACACAAGGUGACAAAUCUUAUUUUGAUUACUUCAUGCAUCUUCAUUUGCCUCAUGUUAUACCUAACAAUACUCGGCUGGAGCAUUCAUGGUUAGAAUCAUAAGUAAAGUCAAAGUAUAACAUUCAUCAUAUAAGAUCAUAAGCUAUUUCAAGCCAAAUGAUCAUUUAUACAACCAUCACAUAAAAAUGUAGCUAUGGAUAUUAUGUGAACUACCAUAUAAUAUUCUUAGAUUGGGUUGUGUUUAGUGAACUUGUUCUUGUAACAAGCAACCACAUGUUAACUCAAGUUUACUUGUACUUCAAAAUUUGAGAUCGGUUGCUUACUUCAUAAGUAAGAGUAUAACAAUGUACUAGUCUCAAUAGCUUUUGUCAAUGUCCUUUUAUUAAUAAAGCAUUAACUAAGAACAAUUUUGGAACAUAUUCCUAUUAUGCAAUAAUAAUCUCAUAAUUACAAUCUCAUUGUAAUUUCCUUGUAAAACUUUAUUUAUAUUUUGAGGACUUUAUCGUAUAAGCGUCAACAAUGAAAUUUAUGUGUACAAGCUCAACAACCUAGAAAAAAGAUCUUUUAUAAGAUAUCAAAUAUCAAAGUACUACAAAUAUGAUAAUAUCUUGGCCAAAAUAUGAUUCGACUUGAAGGGUAAAUACUAACAAUUUCCCACUUAAACUGAAGUGAAUUUUUCAUGUAUCUAGUACGUAUAAUACUUCUGUUGGAACAUAGCUUUAGUAAGAAGAUCAGCAAUGUUAUCCUUUGUGGGUAAUCGUUCAAUUUUAAUAUCACCUCUAGAAACAAAGUUUCUAAUGAGAUUAUAUCGCCUUAAUACAUGUUUGGAUCUUUGAUGAGACUUAGUUUCUUGGCUUAAGCAAUAGCUCCAUUGUUGUCAUAAUAGACUAUUAUCAUAUCAAUAAUGCUAGGAAUAACGUUUAGUUCAAUUACAAACUUCUUGAUCCAAACAUUUUUUUUAUAACCUCACAUGUAAAGAUGUAUUUGGCUUAGUUGCAAAGUUUACGGUUGUACUCUGGAACUUUUUCAACUCAUUACUCCACCAUUCAGAGUAAAAACAUAGUUACUUUAUCAUCCUUGUCGAAUUGAAAGCUUGCAUUAUAAUAGCCCUCAACAAGGAAUUUGGCUCCACCAUAAACAAGAAAUAUAUCCUUAGUUCUUCUAAGUAUUUAAGAUUGUUUUUAGUACCUUUUAGUGACAUUCACCUAGAUUUGUUUGAUAUCUACUUACUAUGCUUAAAGCAAAUGAGAUAUCAGGCCUUGUGCAUAUCAUUUUAUACUUAAUGGAUCUAAUUGUCAAAGCAUGUGAAAUUUUAUUCAUACUAUAUUUCUCAAUUUGUGUCGUAGGACUCAUGUCCUUAAAAAGAUUUAUGCCAUGUGACAUUGGCAAGAAUCCCCUUUGGAUCAUUUGAUGCUAAACCUUUUUAACAUUUUUUCUAUUUAUCCAAAUUGUUAGAGACUAAGCAACCACUUUGAUCUAUCUCUAUAUAGCACUAUGAAAACAAUUGCAUUCCCAUUUGUCUUCUUGUAUACACACGGUUCAUAUACAUUUUUUAUGAAUCCAAAUUCUAUAACUACUUCAUUAAAACAUUUAUUCCAAUUCAUUGAUCCUUGUUUAAGUUCAUAGAUAGGCCUUUGAAGCUUACACACAAUGUUGGCAUUAUUUUUGGAUUCAAAACCUUUGGGUCGUGCCAUCUACACAUCUUGCAAAUUCUCAUUAAAGAAUGCCAUUUUGACAUCUAUUUGCCAUAUCUCAUAGUCGCGAGAUACGAUGAUAGCAAGCAAAAUCCUAAUGGAUUUUAACAUGGCUACUGGUGAAAAAGUUUCAUCAAAAUCAACUCAUUGUUUUUAUUAUAACCUUUUACAACUAGCCUGGCUUUGUACAUUUGUAAACUGCCAUUCAUGUCGAUUUUCUUCUUGAUAAUCCACUUGCACACUACUGGUUUUAUCCCUUCAGGUGGUUUUAUCAAAGUCCAUACUUGGUUUACAUACAUGGAUUUCAUUUCGGAUUUCAUGGCCUUAUGCCAUUUCUCAAAAUCAAUGUCCAACACUAUUUCUUGAUAGGUAUUAGGAUCAUCAUCUAUGAUCAACUCAACUUUGUUCACGAGAAAUCCAUAUCUCUUAGAAGCUUGGCAAGUCCUACUUAGCUAUAGAGUUCUUGUGUACUUUGAGCUUUUGGCUAUGUAUCUGAUGCCUUAGCCACUAGUUCAAGUUCCAUCCUUGUGUCGUUUAUGUUUCUUGAACUUUUUCAAGUUCUAUUUUACUUCCACUGUUAUCUUUUUUCAAAAAGAUAGCAUGUUUAGACACAAGCACCUUUUAUUCUUUAGAGUUGUAGAAAUAAUAUCCAAUAGUUUCUUUUGGAUAUCCCACAAAUUUACACAUAACAAAUCUAGCUCCAAGCUUGUCAGCUUGUGCAUGCUUCACAUAAGCAUCACAUCCCCAAAUCCUUAUAUGUGACAAGUUAGGUCUUUGACCUUUCCACAUCUAAUAUGGUGUCUUAUCAACGAAUUUAGAUGGAACUAUAUUUAGAAGAUAAGUAGUUUUUUUUAAAAUGCAUAUAGGAAGAUUUGAAUUGCUCAUCAUGCAUCGAACCGUGUUUAACAAAGUUCUAUUUCUCCUUUAAGAAACUCCAUUGUGUUAUGUUGUUCCAAGUGGAGUCCAUUUUGAAAGAAUCUCAUUCUCUUAUAGAUAAUCUAGAAAAUCAUGGCUUAAUUAUUCGCCACCUUGAUUAGAUCUAAGUAUCAUGAUACUUUUACCAAUUUUCUUUUUGGCCUCCAUUUUAAAUUCUUUGAACUUUUAAAAGGAUUUAGACUUGUGUUUCAUUAAAUACGCUUAAUGAUAUCUUGUAUAAUUAUCAGUGAAUGCUAUGAAAUAGGAGUAUCCUCCUCUAACAUUUAUGUUCAUUGGGCCACAUACAUCCGAAUGUAUUAGUCUUAAAACCAUACUAGCUCUUUCUCUUUUACUAAUAAAAGGUGAUUUGGUCAUCUUUCCAAGCAAAUAUGAUUCACAUGUUCCAUAUGAUUUAUAAUUAAAAAGAUCAAAGUAUCCUUGUAUAUGUAACUUUGUUAUUCUUAUUUCAUUGACAUGAUCGAGCCUCAAUGCCAUAAGUAAGAUUGAUUCGAUUUAUCUAGUUUAGCCUUCUUGACAUUUAUAUUGAGAAUAUUAUUGUUUAAUCUAAGAACAUAUAAGCCAUUAUUAUACAUUCCCAUGCUAUAAAACAUAUCAUUUAAAUAAAAGGAAUAAUAGUUGCCUUUAAUACUAAAUAAGUAUCCAUUGUUCAUACUUAAAUAAGAAACUAAAGUGAUGUUUUAAGUUAUGACGAGAGCAUAAUAACAAUCCUUUACUUCUAAAACUAAACUAGAAGGUAAAGGAAAAUAAUAAAUCCUCAUGGCAUAGACAACUACACUUACGCCAUUUCUAACAUGCAAUAACAUCUCUCUUCUCUUUAGACAUCUAUUUUUUUUUAGUCCCUGAAUAUCAUUACAUAAGUGAAAAUCAUCUUUGAUAUCCAAUACCUAAGAAGAUGUGUCAAUAAGAGAUAGAUUGAUCUCAAUCAUAAACAUGUCUGAAGUAAAAGUCUCUUUAGACUUCAUCUCUUUCAAACUUGCCAAGUAGAUCAUGCAAUUCCUCUUUCAAUGACCUUUUUCACCACAAUGGUGACUUGUACCAUUAUCCCUCUUGAUGUUGCUACUAGGCUUGAUAGCCUUGUUUACAUCCCUUUUCUUA
rnacentral:lncRNA from 1 species